CGGGUGGCUGCAGUGGGGAAUAUUGGACAAUGGGCGAAAGCCUGAUCCAGCCACGCCGCGUGUGUGAUGAAGGUCUUCGGAUCGUAAAGCACUGUGGGGAGGGACGAAAGGCAGCAGGCCAAUACCCUGCUGAUUUGACGGUACCUCCUUAGCAAGCACCGGCUAACUCCGUGCCAGCAGCCGCGGUAAUACGGAGGGUGCAAACGUUGCUCGGAAUUAUUGGGCGUAAAGCGCGUGUAGGCGGCAAUGUAAGUCGAGUGUGAAAGCCCUGGGCUUAACCUAGGAAGUGCGCUCGAAACUGCAUAGCUAGAGUACGGGAGAGGGUAGCGGAAUUCCCGGUGUAGAGGUGAAAUUCGUAGAUAUCGGGAGGAACACCAGUGGCGAAGGCGGCUACCUGGACCGAUACUGACGCUGAGACGCGAAAGCGUGGGUAGCAAACAGGAUUAGAUACCCUAGUAGUC
rnacentral:rRNA from 1 species